GUGAAUAUAGUUUAAUAAAAACCCUAGCUUGUGAUUUUAGAAAUGAGAGCUAACACCUCUCUAUUCACC
rnacentral:tRNA from 1 species